GAUCCUGGCUCAGGAUGAACGCUAGCUACAGGCUUAACACAUGCAAGUCGAGGGGCAGCAUGGUCUUAGCUUGCUAAGGCCGAUGGCGACCGGCGCACGGGUGAGUAACACGUAUCCAACCUGCCGUCUACUCUUGGACAGCCUUCUGAAAGGAAGAUUAAUACAAGAUGGCAUCAUGAGUCCGCAUGUUCACAUGAUUAAAGUNUUCGUACGACGAUGGGAG
rnacentral:rRNA from 1 species